rnacentral:tRNA from 3 species
GCCGAUGUGGCGGAAUUGGUAGACGCGCUACCUUGAGGGGGUAGUGAGCUACGCUCGUGCCAGUUCGACUCUGGCCAUCGGCACCA